CGCAUGAAGCAGUGGGAAAAACUCCGGUGGUACAGGAUGGGCCCGCGUCUGAUUAGCUAGUUGGUAAGGUAACGGCUUACCAAGGCGACGAUCAGUAGCCGACCUGAGAGGGUGACCGGCCACAUUGGGACUGAGACACGGCCCAAACUCCUACGGGAGGCAGCAGUGGGGAAUAUUGCACAAUGGGGGAAACCCUGAUGCAGCGACGCCGCGUGAGCGAUGAAGUAUUUCGGUAUGUAAAGCUCUAUCAGCAGGGAAGAAACUGACGGUACCUGACUAAGAAGCACCGGCUAAAUACGUGCCAGCAGCCGCGGUAAUACGUAUGGUGCAAGCGUUAUCCGGAUUUACUGGGUGUAAAGGGAGCGUAGACGGACUUGCAAGUCUGAAGUGAAAGCCCGGGGCUCAACCCCGGGACUGCUUUGGAAACUGUAGGUCUAGAGUGCUGGAGAGGUAAGUGGAAUUCCUAGUGUAGCGGUGAAAUGCGUAGAUAUACGGAGGAACACCAGUGGCGAAGGCGGAUUGCUGGACGAUAACUGACGCUGAGGCGCGAAAGCGUGGGGAGCAAACAGGAUUAGAUACCCUGGUAGUCCAUGCCGUAAACGAUGAGUGCUAAGUGUUGGGAGGUUUCCGCCUCUCAGUGCUGCAGCUAACGC
rnacentral:rRNA from 1 species